ACCUGGAUGAACGACGGUUUCUUCUAGACUUAGAAUUUGUGCAGUGCCUCGCCAAUCCCGGUUACUUAAAAUUUUUGGCGCUUCACGAAUCCAAAUUUUUUGACGAUGAAAGAUUUGUUGAGUAUCUGAAAUACUUACUGUACUGGAAGCAACCAGAAUACUGCAAAUUCAUAAUCUAUCCGCAUAGCUUAUUCAUGUUAGAUGCCCUCCAAUAUGAAGAAUUUAGGUCGAGCUUAAAGCUGCCGUCCGUAAUUUCCUGCAUUUACGAACAACAGCAACUUCACUGGAAACAUUAUCGUUUGAACAGAAUGAGAACAAGAGCUAAGUCGGAUGAACUUACACCUUUGCAGCCUUCGGCUACUUAAGAAAUUCAAGAAUAUCUCUACGUUACAGUCCUUUUCA